rnacentral:rRNA from 1 species
UGGGGAAUAUUGGACAAUGGGCGCAAGCCUGAUCCAGCCAUGCCGCGUGUGUGAAGAAGGCCUUUCGGUUGUAAAGCACUUUAAGCGAGGAGGAGGCUACUUGGAUUAAUACUCUAAGAUAGUGGACGUUACUCGCAGAAUAAGCACCGGCUAACUCUGUGCCAGCAGCCGCGGUAAUACAGAGGGUGCGAGCGUUAAUCGGAUUUACUGGGCGUAAAGCGUGCGUAGGCGGCUUCUUAAGUCGGAUGUGAAAUCCCUGAGCUUAACUUAGGAAUUGCAUUCGAUACUGGGAAGCUAGAGUAUGGGAGAGGAUGGUAGAAUUCCAGGUGUAGCGGUGAAAUGCGUAGAGAUCUGGAGGAAUACCGAUGGCGAAGGCAGCCAUCUGGCCUAAUACUGACGCUGAGGUACGAAAGCAUGGGGAGCGAACAGG